rnacentral:rRNA from 1 species
UAGAGUUUGAUCAUGGCUCAGGAUGAACGCUAGCGGCAGGCCUAAUACAUGCAAGUCGAACGAUGAAGCCCAGCUUGCUGGGUGGAUUAGUGGCGAACGGGUGAGUAAUACGUGAGUAACCUGCCCCCGACUCUGGGAUAAGCCUGGGAAACUGGGUCUAAUACCGGAUAUGACCUCCUACCGCAUGGUGGGUGGUGGAAAGAUUUAUCGGUGGGGGAUGGACUCGCGGCCUAUCAGCUUGUUGGUGAGGUAAUGGCUCACCAAGGCGACGACGGGUAGCCGGCCUGAGAGGGUGACCGGCCACACUGGGACUGAGACACGGCCCAGACUCCUACGGGAGGCAGCAGUGGGGAAUAUUGCACAAUGGGCGAAAGCCUGAUGCAGCGACGCCGCGUGAGGGAUGACGGCCUUCGGGUUGUAAACCUCUUUCAGUAGGGAAGAAGCGAAAGUGACGGUACCUGCAGAAGAAGCGCCGGCUAACUACGUGCCAGCAGCCGCGGUAAU